rnacentral:lncRNA from 1 species
AGAACAGACCUCUUGAGUCGCCUGCAAAAACAGUCACAAUGAUAACAUUAGGAAGCUAUUCUGUACUGAAUCAGCAUGGGAUAGAGUGCCUAGAAGACGUUCAGACCAAGCACAGCUAGCGCGUCCCUGCUGGUUCUCCAUUCUGCAUCCGUGCAGCCACGUUCUAUUGAUGGCCUGUUGUGAUUUCAAUGGAACAUCAUGGGAUGUACCUGGCACGUCGGGCAGCACUGGAUGGAGGUGCCUUUAGCCCAAUGUACCUGGCAUGGAGCUGGUAGCAGUUGAGCAUGUGUUGCCCACGUACUUAAUGUCCAAACGUUGCCGCACAAAGGUACCAAACAGGUGCUUGUGUCCAUAAGCAAAGCUAUACUGUUUCUGCGGGAGUCCUGCAAGAGUUGCUUCAGGGAGCAGGGAGGGCAGUUCUGCCUGGCACUAAUUGGAAUGUAACAAACUAAAUAAGGGCCACUUGUAAGUUUGCUGAUGUGAUAUCCUCCGUGAAACGAUCCUCCAUUCUCCUUCACACCUGCAACAUCAGCUGCACAUCCCGUUCUGCCCUGCAUGCCGCUUUCUCUCCCUUCCCCUACUCUGCACUCACUAACUUGACAUGUUGGUCUUACCUGUUUUGAAGUAUGAGAUAUUCCGGUGCGAAAAACAAGGGUGCUGCAUCCUGUUUUCUGCUUGAGCCCCCCCCUGCACAGCUUUUGCUGCUCCACUGCCAAUGAUGAAAAAGUGCAUGUUCUUGCCUCUGCUUUCAAGUUCUGCUGUCUGCCUGCUUACAGGAGCUGGGGAUAGGGAACCAUUUGGGCUAACACAAUUUGUGCAUUCCUAGGCCUGCCUCUGCUGCUCUUGAGUGUGAAAUACGUUUACAAGGCAUGGGCUAAUGACCUGCCAACUGCAGCUCCUGGGGGGAAGGUUAGUGGCCAUGAAAGCCCAGCUCACUGAUACCUCAGGAGAAUGAUGGAAGUAGGUUCUGCGGGGAUGUGGGGAGAGGAAGGUCAGAUGAGCCAGUGAGCAAUAGGAAAGCUCUCUUCCCAUUGGGGUCUUCAAGUGCUCUAUAAAAGUUAGAUCAUCUGAAACUGAAAGGUGAAGAAGUGAUCUGUUUGUUUCAC